AGUGAACGCUGGCGGUAGGCCUAACACAUGCAAGUCGAACGGCAGCACAGUAAGAGCUUGCUCUUACGGGUGGCGAGUGGCGGACGGGUGAGGAAUACAUCGGAAUCUACUUUUUCGUGGGGGCUAACGUAGGGAAACUUACGCUAAUACCGCAUACGACCUACGGGUGAAAGCAGGGGAUCUUCGGACCUUGCGCGAUUGAAUGAGCCGAUGUCGGAUUAGCUAGUUGGCGGGGUAAAGGCCCACCAAGGCGACGAUCCGUAGCUGGUCUGAGAGGAUGAUCAGCCACACUGGAACUGAGACACGGUCCAGACUCCUACGGGAGGCAGCAGUGGGGAAUAUUGGACAAUGGGCGCAAGCCUGAUCCAGCCAUACCGCGUGGGUGAAGAAGGCCUUCGGGUUGUAAAGCCCUUUUGUUGGGAAAGAAAAGCAGCAGGUUAAUACCCCGCUGUCCUGACGGUACCCAAAGAAUAAGCACCGGCUAACUUCGUG
rnacentral:rRNA from 1 species